UGGGGAAUUUUGGACAAUGGGCGAAAGCCUGAUCCAGCAAUGCCGCGUGCAGGAUGAAGGCCUUCGGGUUGUAAACUGCUUUUGUACAGAACGAAACAGUCCCCCCUAAUACGGGGGGCGAAUGACGGUACUGUAAGAAUAAGCACCGGCUAACUACGUGCCAGCAGCCGCGGUAAUACGUAGGGUGCAAGCGUUAAUCGGAAUUACUGGGCGUAAAGCGUGCGCAGGCGGUUUUGUAAGACAGAUGUGAAAUCCCCGGGCUCAACCUGGGACCUGCAUUUGUGACUGCAAAGCUAGAGUACGGCAGAGGGGGAUGGAAUUCCGCGUGUAGCAGUGAAAUGCGUAGAUAUGCGGAGGAACACCGAUGGCGAAGGCAAUCCCCUGGGCCUGUACUGACGCU
rnacentral:rRNA from 1 species